AGAACUGAAGCUGAUGUCAGAUUUCUCGCUUGGGUGAUGAGGAACAAGGCAGGAAGAGCAGCAAUGAGGAUAGAGGUGGAAGGGCAGCUCAGGAAUUUCCCUGGAGUUUUCCCAUCUUGAGACUUCGGUCUUGGAAGACAGAAUGGCUGUGACAUAAUGUGGACUUUUUACUUCCACCUCUAGGAAAGCGUUCUUUGGAACACCUUUGCUGAGUCUCUCUCUCCUCCGCUCAAGGGAUGUUGUCUCCAUUUACAAGGCCAAAACAGGUUCAUCAUCAGCUCAUCACUCUCUAGUCCCGGGAAGGGCAGCAUGGAGUUAAAAUGACAGAGGAAGAAGGCAUUUUCACACAAGGCUGGCCAGAUGGGAAGAAUCUUCAGCUUCAGCUUCAGCUUGGCCUCAUUCAUUUGAAAAUAAAAUGUUUACAUGAGGCCGCGCCUGUGUCCAGCUGAAAGUGGGUCCUUCAGAGCGUGUGGGGGAUUCUCUGCCGGCUUGAUGGGCUAGCUCCUCUAAGCCGGCUGCUGGAGACAUCACCGGCUGAGGGACUCCUGCAAACGUUCAUACAUGAUUUGAUCCUGAAAGGAGGGAGAACACAGAAUACAGAGACCGUCACUGCUUGUUUUGGGCUGAAUGGUGCCCCCCAAAAUUCACAUGCUGCAGUCCGCACCCGCAGGACCUCAGAAUGUGAUUGUAACUGGAGAGAGGGUCUUUAUAGAGGAGACUGGAUUAAAAUGAGGUCAUACAGGUAGACUCUUAUCCAAUAUGACUGCUCUCCUUACAAAAAGAGGGGAUUAGGGCACAGGAGGGAAGAGCAUGUGCGCAGAGGGAAAAGCACAUGCAGGCGCUGGGAGAAGACAGCCAUCAGUGAGGACAAAGGCUCCAGAAGAACCAAUCCUGCCCAACACUCUCCAGAACUGUGAGAAAAUAAAUUUUCCACUUUUUAAGCC
rnacentral:lncRNA from 1 species